UUCCGGUUGAUCCUGCCGGAGAUCACUGCUAUUGGGGUCCGAUUAAGACAUGCACGUCUAGGAGUGCGACAGCACUACUAGCAGACAGCUCAGUAACACGUGGACAAUCUGCCGUUGGGAAGAGGAUAACUUCGGGAAACUGGGGCUAAUACUCUAUAGUAAACGAGUCCUGGAAUGGUCGUUUAUGAAACGCGAUACUCUUUUGUCGAGUAUUUUGCGCCCUACGAUGAGUCUGCGGCGGAUUAGGUUGUUGGCGGGGUAAUGGCCCACCAAGCCUACAAUCCGUACCGGCCUUGAGAGAGGGAGCCGGGAGAUGGAUACUGAGACAAAGAUCCAGGUCCUACGGGACGCAGCAGUUGCGAAACCUCCGCAAUGCGCGCAAGCGUGACGGGGGGACCCCAAGUGCCAUUGUACAACAAUGGCUUUUGUCUAGUGUAAAUAGCUAGUUGAAUAAGGGCUGGGUAAGACCGGUGCCAGCCUCCGCAGUAACACCGGCAGCUCGGGUGGUGAUCGAUUUUAUUGGGCUUAAAGCGGCCGUAGUCUGCUUCGUAAGUCCUCUGUUAAAUCCUACAGCCUAACUGUAGGGCCGCAGAGGAUACUGCGU
rnacentral:rRNA from 1 species